rnacentral:rRNA from 1 species
UACAGAGGGGGCAAGCGUUGUUCGGAAUUACUGGGCGUAAAGGGCUCGUAGGUGGCCAACUAAGUCAGACGUGAAAUCCCUCAGCUUAACCGGGGAACUGCGUCUGAUACUGGAUGGCUUGAGUUUGGGAGAGGGACGCGGAAUUCCAGGUGUAGCGGUGAAAUGCGUAGAUAUCUGGAGGAACACCGGUGGCGAAGGCGGCGUCCUGGACCAAUACUGACACUGAUGAGCGAAAGCCAGGGGAGCAAACGGG